GAUGAACGCUGGCGGCGUGCCUAAUACAUGCAAGUCGAGCGAAGCGGGGACGGGCGAGUAACACGUGGAUAACCUCCUAUAAGACUGGGAUAACUCCGGGAAACCGCAGCUAAACUGGAUACUUAAUGAUGGAUCCGGGUUGCAUUAGCUAGUCGGUAAGGUAACGGCUUACCAAGGCAACGACGCCUAGCCGACCUGAGAGGUUGAUCGGCCACACUGGAACUGAGACACGGUCCAGACUCCUACGGUAGGCAGCAGUUGGGAAUCUUCCGCAAUGGGCGAAAGCCUGACGGAGCAACGCCGCGUGAGUUAUGAAGGUCUUCGGAUCGUAAAACUCUGUUAUUAGGGAAGCGGUACCUAAUCAGAAAGCCACGGCUAACUACGUGGCAGCAGCCGCGGUAAUUC
rnacentral:rRNA from 1 species